rnacentral:rRNA from 1 species
AACGAACGCUGGCGGCGUGCCUAACACAUGCAAGUCGAACGCGAGGCUUACUUCGGUAAGUAGUAGAGUGGCGGACGGGUGCGUAACACGUGGGUAACCUACCCCAAAGACUGGGAUAACUCAGCGAAAGUUGAGCUAAUACUGGAUAAGCUCACACCUUCCUUGGGAGGAGUGAGAGAAAAUGGCCUCUAUAUGUAUGCUAUUGCUUUGGGAUGGGCUCGCGGCCCAUUAGCUAGUUGGUGGGGUAAAGGCCUACCAAGGCUACGAUGGGUAGCUGGUCUGAGAGGAUGAUCAGCCACACUGGAACUGAGACACGGUCCAGACUCCUACGGGAGGCAGCAGUGGGGAAUAUUGCGCAAUGGGCGAAAGCCUGACGCAGCAACGCCGCGUGAGUGAAGAAGGCCU